rnacentral:rRNA from 1 species
GACGGAGGAUGCAAGUGUUAUCCGGAAUCACUGGGCGUAAAGCGUCUGUAGGUGGUUUAAUAAGUCAACUGUUAAAUCUUGAGGCUCAACCUCAAAAUCGCAGUCGAAACUAUUAGGCUAGAGUAUAGUAGGGGUAAAGGGAAUUUCCAGUGGAGCGGUGAAAUGCGUAGAUAUCUGGAGGAACACCGGUGGCGAAGGCGGCAUCCUGGACCAAUAUUGACGCUGAGGAGCGAAAGCUAGGGGAGCAAACGGG